CUUCCGUAGGUGAACCUGCGGAGGGAUCAUUACCGAGUUAUACAACUCCCAAACCCACUGUGAACCUUACCUCAGUUGCCUCGGCGGGAACGCCCCGGCCGCCUGCCCCCGCGCCGGCGCCGGACCCAGGCGCCCGCCGCAGGGACCCCAAACUCUCUUGCAUUACGCCCAGCGGGCGGAAUUUCUUCUCUGAGUUGCACAAGCAAAAACAAAUGAAUCAAAACUUUCAACAACGGAUCUCUUGGUUCUGGCAUCGAUGAAGAACGCAGCGAAAUGCGAUAAGUAAUGUGAAUUGCAGAAUUCAGUGAAUCAUCGAAUCUUUGAACGCACAUUGCGCCCGCCAGCAUUCUGGCGGGCAUGCCUGUUCGAGCGUCAUUUCAACCCUCGAGCCCCCCCCGGGGGCCUCGGUGUUGGGGGACGGCACACCAGCCGCCCCCGAAAUGCAGUGGCGACCCCGCCGCAGCCUCCCCUGCGUAGUAGCACACACCUCGCACCGGAGCGCGGAGGCGGUCACGCCGUAAAACGCCCAACUUUCUUAGAGUUGACCUCGGAUCAGGUAGGAAUACCCGCUGAACUUAAGCAUAUCAAUAAGCGGAGGAAUUUUUNUUUUCUUUUUGUUUUGUAUUCGGUAUUCAGUAUAAUGGAUUUUUAUAGGAAUUAAAGUAAUCUAUUAUUGGUUCAUUGUAGAAUUAGAAAUUUUCUAGAUCUUCCCACAUUCGUUUAUUUAUAUUCGUCUGACUCUUAUAAUAGAUAUUUUCUUGGUAUAUUAAUGUAUAUCAUUUAAUCUGAACACUAUCCAGUGUAAUUAUUUUUGUAAAUAUAUUUAUAUUAUAUUAAUUGAAAGUGUUAAAAUUAAAUAAUAUCACAUACUGUUGAAUUUCACUUAAUCGUAUAUAAAACUCAUUUUGUAUUUGAUUAAAUGUUUAACUUACCUAAAUAGAAUGGAUGGGAAUAAAACUUUUUUCAAUUUUAGACGUAUAGAAGAUUCUAGUUAUAGAUAUCUGAUAACAUGAGAAUAUUAAUAAUAAAAAGAUUAUUAUGUAAUUUGCUAAUAUAUGCACUUCUCUAUACUAUUAUGUU
rnacentral:rRNA from 1 species